rnacentral:rRNA from 1 species
UACGUAGGGGGCGAGCGUUGUCCGGAUUCAUUGGGCGUAAAGAGCUCGUAGGCGGUUCGGUAAGUCAGGUGUGAAAACUCCAGGCUCAACUUGGAGACGCCACCUGAUACUGUCGUGACUAGAGUCCGGUAGGGGAGCAUGGAAUUCCUGGUGUAGCGGUGAAAUGCGCAGAUAUCAGGAGGAACACCAGCGGCGAAGGCGGUGCUCUGGGCCGGAACUGACGCUGAGGAGCGAAAGCGUGGGGAGCGAACAGGAUUAGAUACCCUGGUAGUCCACGCCGUAAACGUUGGGCACUAGGUGUGGGGCUCUGUCAACGAGUUCCAUGCCGUCGCUAACGCAUUAAGUGCCCCGCCUGGGGAGUACGGCCGCAAGGCUAAA